rnacentral:tRNA from 1 species
AUAUUGGUGGCUCAGUGGUAGAAUUCUCACCUUCCAUGUGGGAGACCUGGGUUCAAUGCUCAGCCAGUUCA